UCUGGUGGAUAGUUUUACAGUAGCUCAGAUUUUGUCUGUCUGAAUCCAGUUGUAGCACACAGUCUCUUAUAGGGGCCAGGUGUGUAUGUGUUUUAUUGCCAGUACCAACAGGGGCAAGUAAUUAGUAACAGCAGGGAGAGGGGGUUGGUGUUGUGUGUUUGUGUGUGUUCACAGAAUAGGGUAAGGGGUGUUCUUUAUGUGUAGGUAGAUUCUUUAGGGUAUUAGGCCAUGUGUACCAGUGCUCUCUUCACUUGGCUCUUGUCUACGCUGCUGCUCUGUUCUGAAGCCUAUAGAAAAGCUAUAGACCCAGACAACAUUAUAUUGAACAUAUCUGAAAGUUCUGAUGGUGUCCAAGUGAAGUGGAGGAAUCCUACAAAGGGAGUAGUCGGCUUAUGCUAUGAGAGCAAACUACAGUACAAGACCCAUUGUGAAGUUGAAUGGAAGGAAUUAGUACUGAGGGGAUUUAAUUACCGGAUAGUGACAGACAGAAUGAGAGGUUAUGAAUUAAGGAUGCAGAUGAGGUACAGCUGUUUGGUGGAUUACCCACAGUUAUGGAGCCCAUGGACACCAUCAACAUUCUGGCGAAAUGAAACAGGUUCCUGUUCAACAAAGGAAUAUUCAGCUCAAGUUUAUGUUGGGACCAUUUUACCUUUAAUAAUCUGUUUCAUGCUGAUUUUUGCUUUCCAACAAAAAAGGCAAGUGGUCCCAUUUUUUAUCUACAGCAAUUCUAUAGAAGCAAAUAAUAAUAAUGACUAAUCAAAGAUUACCAACAGGAUCCGACAAUUCUUCCUACCACAUAUCCCAGAUCCCAAACAUAUCAAUGAAUCUUACGUCAGUAUGGACCAUCCUUAUUGGCUGAGUACUUUCACAUUGCCCAGUGUUGAAUGUGAGAUGGUCAGUAUAGAGACACUCAGUUCAUUGAAGAAUGAGAAUGAAGAUGAGGAAGAGAUAGAGAGGGAAGAGAAGAAAGCUGAAGAAAGCACUUUUAUUGAUCAGAGUGCUCAUCAAAAAGACAUCCAGCGCUACACCAACCUGGAGUUCAAUGGACCAUAUGUGUUCUUGUGAUGGAUAGAUCAAAUGCUUUUUUUAAAUGUUGUUUAUUUGGGAAUAUAUUUUUGUGAACUAUUUACUUUUGAGUUAAAUUAAAAGUGGAGAAAAUAUGUUAGUUUUAGAUAUGUCUGAACCAAAAUCAAGAGUGUACAAUAGAUCCAAACGAUGGUUUACUUGUGAUGGGUCUUAUAUACAAAGAAACAAUGUAUUAGCAAAGAAUAGAAAAACAAACUGAGGUCCAAGUAAUUUCAGGCCUGGCGCUGGAACAAAUGUGUAGCAAAAUACACAGUUGUCAAUCAAAUUCUAAAGCUUUUACUAACUACAGUAGUUUCACAUUCUUUGUUGCUUUAUGCUUACUUCACUUAAUAAUGCAAAUCUUUGAUCACAUUUGUACAUCAAGGCAAGAUGGCUACAUACAUUCCCAACAGAAAUUAAGUACAGUAGUUAAGUACAGUAUAUCGUAAAUAUAAAUGUUUCUAUAAAACCAAAACAGUAUUUUAUAGGCUACAAGCCUAUCAUACCAUACUGUGUUUGCACCAAUUAUACUUUGUGACUUUUAGGCUACUGGUUAUUUUUAAAACAGACCUAUUAUUAUCAACAUAACCAACAGCUAUGAAAUAUACACUAUAAUGACACUUGACCAUCACAUCCAAAUGAGCUUAUUGGAAAUCCCAUUCCAAAACCAUGGGCAUUAAUAUGGAGUUGCCCCCCCCUUGCUGCUGUAACUAACUGCUGCCACUCUUCUGGGAAGGCAUUCCAGAUGAUUUUGGAGCGUCUGUGGGAAUUUGUGAGUUCAGGUACUGAUGUUGGAUGAGAGGCCCUGGCUCACAAUCGCCGUUCCAAUUCAUCCCAAAUGUGUUUUAUUGGGUUGAGGUCACGGCUCUGAGUAGGUCACUCAAGUUCCUCCACACCAACCUCGUAAAACCAUGUCUUUAUGGACCCCACUUUGUGCACUGGGGCACAGUCAUGUUGGUAGGGAUGUUUAGUUAUAACCCCCCCCAGCUGUUCGUUAUAGCCCCCCUAUGCAGCUAUAAAUAACGGCUGCCACUCUUCUGGGAAAGCAUUCCAGAAGAUUUUGGAGUGUCAGAAGGAAUUUGUGAGUUCAGGCACUGAUGUUGGAUGAGAAGCCCUGGCUCACAACCGCCGUUCCAAUUUACCCCAAAGGUGUUCAAUUGGGUUGAGGUCAGGGCUCUGUGCAGGUCAUUCAGGUUCCUCCACACAAACCUCAUCAAACCAUGUCUUUAUGGACCCCAAUUUCUGCACAGGGGCACAGUCAUGUUGGAACAGGAAAGGGCCUUCUCCAAACUGUUGUUACAAUGUUGGAAGCACUUUGUCUAAAAUGUCUUUGUAUCUUGUAGCAUUAAGAUGACCCAUCACUGGAACUAAGGGGCCUAGCCCAAACUCUGAAACACCCCAAAGACCAUUAUCCCUCCUCCAAAAUAUUCCAAAAAUAUAUUUUUUAAGUAAUUCCAACUUAAUGUGUUUAUUAUACAUUAAUCUGUUAAAGCAACAUAAACAAUAUACAGCUCCAGAGAUUUUUUUGAGACCACUCUUUUUUCUUAAAUCAGCAUCUACAUGUAUGGCAGCCAUUCCAUUCCAGUGUCUUUUCAAUUCCAACACAGGCACACCUAAUUUUACUUAAGGAGGUACGGAUUAGGUGAUUACCUGAACCAAAUCUAAAUUAACAAGGAAAAGUAUAAA